rnacentral:rRNA from 1 species
AUUGAACGCUGGCGGCAUGCCUUACACAUGCAAGUCGAACGGUAACGGGCCUUCGGUGCCGACGAGUGGCGAACGGGUGAGUAAUGCAUCGGAACGUACCUUUCAGUGGGGGAUAACGUAGCGAAAGUUACGCUAAUACCGCAUAUUCUGUGAGCAGGAAAGCAGGGGAUCGCAAGACCUUGCGCUGAUUGAGCGGCCGAUGUCAGAUUAGGUAGUUGGUGGGGUAAAGGCUCACCAAGCCGACGAUCUGUAGCUGGUCUGAGAGGACGACCAGCCACACUGGGACUGAGACACGGCCCAGACUCCUACGGGAGGCAGCAGUGGGGGAAUUUUUGGGACAAUGGGCGCAAGCCUGAUCCAGCCAUUCCGCGUGCAGGAUGAAGGCCCUCGGGUUGUAAACUGCUUUUGUACGGAACGAAACGGUUCUCUCUAAUACAGGGGGGCUAAUGACGGUACCGUAAGAAUAAGCACCGGCUAACUACGUGCCAGCAGCCGCGGU